UAAGGCAAUCAAUUUAACUUCUGUAAAGUCCUUGGGCCACUCUCCAAUUUCAUAUAAAUCUAGUUUCAUCAACCAUAAAUUAUUAUAAGUCAGUUGUUGCUACAUUUUUUAGGUUUUCGUGGUAAUGAAGAACCAGGUUGUGGCCUAAGCAAUGGCACAGUAGAGCCUGGUAGAUGUGUAUUGUUUUGGUUAAACACAUGCAUCCGUUUUUAUCCUGUAUAAGGUGGGAAUAUGCACCUCCGAAAUAUACAUGCACAGCUACGAGGCCACACGAUGCCCAUAAUAUUAACACUUUCAAGAUUGAUGUUGUGGCCGUAAUAGGAGGUUACAAAGUUACCAACUGCGCUUUCGACAUCUGCCGUACAUAGUUCGGUACUAUUUGGCGAACCUAACGUAAUUGUCCUUCAUAGAUGACAGGAAGGAAGGUUGAAUAUGACGUCAAAUUUUUCUGCUCAUUUCUUGUUCCUGCGGUUUCGAACCCCGCCCCUCUCUGGCCAACUCUGCUCUGUAGAUCACGUGUUCCAACAUGUUCGGUUCUUAGGGUUGGACGUCACUCUGUCUGCGGCAACGGGUUGGUCAAGAAUACAGCAACUUUCUCGAUGGCGAACAUGGUGGUGCUCAGUGCGUGCAGAGGUCUGUUGGUCAACCGGCUCCCUAUUGCCUGCCGCCUAAGUAUAGCGGUUCCCCCUGGAGGAUGGACCGUUUAUCUAACCUGACUAUCAAGAAGAAGUGCUUCCACUUCCAUUGUAUAACGCAUAAAUACUCUAUAUUUUCCUCAGGCACAUUGUAACAGAAUUUACAAUUGGGCAGUCAUCCUUCUUUGUCAUUUUUUGCUUUCUAAGCUAACAAGUGAUUGCUUGACACCGUACAGACGUCAUAGGAUAUGUGAUUCAUCUCCUCAUGACAUUUGUUCCAAGCUUCAGUUUAGUAAUAUUAUUCAUCAUCACGACAUCCGUCGUUAGCCCUACUGUGUAGGAAGUCAGUGUGGUCUGACUUCCAACUUUACUCACUCUGUGUUUUCCGCAUCCACAUCCUACAUCCUGUGCUCUGGCUACAGUUCAUACAAUUUGCUUGUAUACUCAUGUGAUUAAUUAAAUGAUUAAUAAUUGCCAAUAUACAGUCAAUAUAUAUUCCUCAAUAUCCUUAUUCCUUUAAGGUAACAUCAAAAUAUUGUAUACAUGUCAGGUGAAUUCGUUUCAUAACAUCAGCGUAGACCAGAACUUUUGUGCCCCAUUCGGAUUGAAUCUUCUGUUUUUUCUUGAACUUCGUAAUGGCUAAGUCCAAAGCAAAGUGAAAUAAAUGGGCGUGAAUCUUAGUAUUCUUUGAAGCUGACACUUCUGCACUGAAAGAUUGCAAAUGAAAAAAAAAAGAAAGAAAGAAAAAGAAAAAAGUGGUCCUGUUUCCGUUAUAUUAAAAACCUUUACCAAAUGUAAUUGCGAAAUUUCAUUUAUAAUAUUUUGUGAAAACGUUUUCCUAUGUGGCCCGCUCCAAGGCUAUAUCACAUGACAGUGAAGUUAAUGCAGUGUAGUGGAGUGAAACAUCUUAGUUGGUGAGCAGUCAGAACUGCUGAGGUUUAAUCGUUAAUGAGCAGUUGGUGCUAGAAGCUGGUAGCUGAGGCAUGGGGAUAGUUCGUGAACCCACAGUAAGGGGCACAUCUGCUGUUGAAAGCCAUUACUAGGGAACAACCAGUGAAGAGAGAGCAGACUGAGAAGACUUAGUUUGUUCUGUAGUAAUUUGUAGAGAGUGAAUUGGCGAUAGCACUAUAGUUACUUGUUAAGAUCUGUGAAUGGUCAGCGAAUCCAGUUACCAAUUACACGUGGCAGUAUACAUUUAUGGUUACGGCUAUACAUGUGUGAAAACUUUGUAUCACAGAAGUGAAACAGGGAUGACUUGGAUGGUUGUUUUCCACUUUCAUAAAGACAUCAAUGAAGUGAAGAGGAAUCUUGCUCCUAUUGAUGUGGAGAGGACUGCAGAUCUGUUGGAUGAGAGCUCAGGCAGACGGGAACCAGUCAGUGGUCAAAAGUAGCUCAGGUGUGACAAAUAAUGUUCUGUCUGCCAAUUAUGCUAUUGGACCAAUGAACUCAACUGCAAAUGUAACUGAAGUGAGGCAGAAUGUGCAGGGGGUGAGACAGCCAUAGCUUUUACAAGAUGUAGUAAAGGAAACAUGUUGAACUUUAGUGGAAAAUAGAAAAGUUAGGAAGAAUUUACAUAUUCGUAGGAAGGAGUAGGAGCAUGCUUUUGAUGAGAGAGUACCAGAAAUUAGUGAUGCUUGUGCAUGUAACUGUAGCAGAAAAUGAAUGGUUAAUCUUAAAGAGGAAGAAAAAGAAAGAAAGAAAGAAAGAAAGAAAGAAAGAAAGAAAGAGUUAAGAGAGUUUUCUCCACUGUCUAUGUGGUCCAUGCCGCGGCUAUAUAACGAGAGUCUGUAGCGAGAGGAAUGAGAGAAUUGGAACUGGGAGUUCAGAAGAUUGAAGAGAAUGGCAGUACAAUGGUGUACAACAGAAAGAGAGUUGAGUCAGCUGUUAGUAGGAGAAGAGUUAGAAGUCAGCCUGUGAAGACUUUGUGUGCUGUAGUACAGUGAUAUCUGGAGUGUGACUGUGCUAAAAUCCGUUGCCAGGAAACAGAUAGUGAAAACAUUGUAAAGUUACAAAUUCACAUUAUUGAAAUAUGGCCUGACCAAUACAGUGAUGGGAAUGGACUUCAUGAGACUGUGUGAGAUGAUGGUGCAGCAGCAUCUUGUUUGAAAAUGAGCUGUCCCUCCACAUCCAUGAGGGGCUGAAGUGAUUGGUGGUCUUCCAUGUUCAUUGGACAUAUGCACAGCAAGAUCUUGCAGAGUUAAUAGAAACUUAAGGGGGAAGAUGACUGACUUUCAGCAGGCUUAUAAAGAGAUGAUCCAAGACCUGAGAGGGAACAAUGUGCAGGGAACUGAAAUACAGUGAAACCCUCAUCAGUGCUCUUUGAUGCGAGAUCAACCUCAGUCGUAUGUCACGGGAAGUCUGGAUGAGGAUUUCCAGCACUGGAAGAAUUGCAGCCGUUGUGUAAGAGGUUCAUCUGCCAGCACUACAGACAGUGUGAUGGGUAAACUACCGCAUCGUUCUCUGCCACAAGAUACCGGUCUUGCAACUAGCCUUAGAAAUGUAUGUCUGAUAAAUAUAGAUUGAUAUCCCUUUAGGUAUCAUUAUUAUGAUGCUUGAAGUGUGAGUUGGUCUAAAUGAAUGACUUGUGUUUGAAUUCUAUGUAAGAAAUUUAGAUUUAUUUUGUCCAAAAGAAAAAUUGGUACAGGAGUUGGGGGGGGGGCGGAGGAGGAAAAGAAAGAAACCGAUUUCAGCCUAAUGCAAUAUGUGAGUAUUGAGGGCAGAAGUUUAUGCCAUUAACUCUGUGUGCACCAAAUUUUCGGACAGCUUGGGACAAAAUACGACUUAAAGGAUGUAUAUGUACAGCUGUAACCUAACCUAAAUAUCUUAUAACAGAAUGUACUCUUAACUUAAUGUGACCUCCCUAAUCUAACUUCUAACGGAAACUAACAAAACUAACCUGAGCUAACAUGUCGAGGAACAUACAUGUACAUAUGUCCAUAGAACAGAAAUGGUCAUACUGCCAUAAGCUUUAUGAAUUUAGCUUAUUGGUUUAUAUGAGGUUCACUCUGCACUAUACCUCACCAUCCAUAGGAGUCACAUACUGAGCAUUUCUUUUGCUAAAGUCAAGGUCAGUGUAAUGUAAUAAAAGUGGUCCAAUUUUAGGAGAAGAGAUUGGAUAUAGACCUGACAUGUUGAAAAAGAUAUCUUGGCACCAAUUAUAUGGUUGUGUGGAUGCUGAUAAGGACAUCUUAUGGUGAUUAUUACUGUGGUGAAUGAGGGGCUGUAUACUUUGAUGUUAAUGAUAUGUUAAGUGUAAUGCCAAACUUGUACUUGAGAUUGUAUUGCUUAUUUUGAUGUAUGUGCAGCUGGCUGACUGGCUAUCAUUGUUUGAUAGGUCUUGUAAAGUGCUAUCUACUUGUAUGUAGAUUCUAAUUUUGUUAUUGCUGUUUGGAAAAUAUUUCAAUAUACCUGUAGACAGAAAUAUGUUUGUCGUCAAAUGACAUAAUUGGACAUUCUCAAAAUCACUGUCAAUUUGUCAGUUAUGAAAAGAAUGUCCCACUUAUUAGAUAAUGAAUUGAUUUGUGUUAAGGCCAGGAGAGUUCACUGAUUGACUGUUGUUAUAGUUGCAUGAAUUUCUGUUCUACUUGCUGCCUCAGUGGCAGAGCAUAUGGAUUGUGUGUGAAUGAACUGUAUGUUACCAGUUUCUGUUAAUGUUGAUAGUAUCAUGUCAUUUAUUGUAAUGGUGUGAACGCAGUUUCUGAGGACAUGAGCAAUCACAGUAUUUUCCAUCAAGAUAUGUAUAUUUUUUUAUAAUGGUGUAUUGUUAUGUCUUUAUUCUAUUUGAACACAAUUGUGUACAUGUUCACCAGCAGUCAACAGAGUUCUGUGAGUGCUGGAGUAUUUGGAAAUGUGCAUUAAAUCAGAUGUCUGCAUAUUGUGGAUGGAAGGACAUUUCUACCACCAUCUUGACUUCAUCAUGUGAUGUGUGGUGGUGAUAGUGGUGAA